rnacentral:rRNA from 1 species
UACAGAGGUCCCAAGCGUUGUUCGGAUUCAUUGGGCGUAAAGGGUGUGUAGGUGGCGCCGUAAGUCGGGUGUGAAAUUUCGGAGCUUAACUCCGAAACUGCAUUCGAUACUGCGGUGCUUGAGGACUGGAGAGGAGACUGGAAUUCCUGGUGUAGCGGUGAAAUGCGCAGAUAUCAGGAGGAACACCAAUUGCGAAGGCAGCUCGCUGGGACGUUACUGACGCUGAGACGCGAAAGCGUGGGGAGCAAACAGG